UAUCUCUGUAGAGUCUGCAUAUCAAUAAGCGGAGGAAAAGAAACUAACAAGGAUUCCCUUAGUAACGGCGAGUGAAGCGGGAAGAGCUCAAAUUUGAAAUCUUCAAGGUUCUACCUUGACGAAUUGUAGUUUAAAGAAGUGUUUUCUGUUAGUAGAGUGGCAAAAGUUCUUUGGAAUAGGACAUCAUAGAGGGUGAGAAUCCCGUAUUUGGUCAUUCUUUCUAGCUUUGUGAUACACUUUCAACGAGUCGGAUUGUUUGGGAAUGCAGUCCAAAAUGGGUGGUAAAUUUCAUCUAAAGCUAAAUAUUGGCGAGAGACCGAUAGCGAACAAGUACCGUGAGGGAAAGAUGAAAAGAACUUUGAAAAGAGAGUUAAACAGUACGUGAAAUUGUCAAAAGGGAAGCGUUUGACACCAGUGUUGUUUUUCCGAAAAUCAAUUACGAAUGUUUUGUUUUUGAGAAGUUAUGACUUCAUCGGCUUGCUUCUUUCUUUACGAAACUUUCUUAAUGCACUUUUCGGUUAACAAGUCAACAUCAAUUUCUUUUGUUGUAAAAGGGUAAGAGGAAGGUGGCUUACGCUUCGGCGUAAGUGUUUAUAGCCUUUUACCUCUGCAAUCGGAGAGAUUGAGGUCUGCAGCGUAGACUCUUCGGGGUUAGAUACACUUGUGCUAAGCUAUAGCCUUGUAUAGACAACUUGUUGACUAUGCUCAGUCAUGUAGCUUACUCGCUUAUGCUAUUUUACCUACGCUUAGGAUGUUGACGCAUGAGAUAUACGC
rnacentral:rRNA from 1 species